GACAACCCAAGAGAGUUUCGGGCGGUUCCCCUUCGGGGGGACAGGUGACAGGUGUGCAUGGUUGUCGUCAGCUCGUGUCGUGAGAUGUUGGGUUAAGUCCCGCAACGAGCGCAACCCUCGCCUCUAGUUGCCAGCAUUCGGUUGGGCACUCUAGAGGGACUGCCGGCGACAAGUCGGAGGAAGUGGGGAUGACGUCAAAUCAUCAUGCCCCUUAUGACCUGGGCUACACACGUGCUACAAUGGGCGGUACAAAGGGCUGCGAACCCGCGAGGGGGAGCGAAUCCCAAAAAGCCGCUCUCAGUUCGGAUUGCAGGCUGCAACUCGCCUGCAUGAAGCCGGAAUCGCUAGUAAUCGCGGAUCAGCAUGCCGCGGUGAAUACGUUCCCGGGCCUU
rnacentral:rRNA from 1 species